CGCCUCAUGCAGGAGGGAAAGGGAUAUGAAAUAUGUUUGAAGGAGUAGGCAAGAUGUCCAAAAUCCCGGAAACUACACUAGGUAUUUCAAGCAGAGAGAACUUAAUAUGGGGGUUUGUGGCACAGGUGAAUGAAGAGUUGAGGAGUCAAACAAGAAGUAGAGACAAAAUCCAGAUAUGAGCAACACCAGGAAACUGAUCUCACCCCUAGGCCAGGGGGGCAAAAGGAGAAUGCAUGUGGGGCUCUCUGAGCCCAAGGUCUCUGUGCCCUCCCAGCCAGGCACAAUGGGAGCACAGAGAGAGACUGCCUUGUGCUGGAGCUAAAAUCAUGGAUGAAGCCAUGAGAAACAGGAAGAAGAGGCUGGCACAUCCAGGCUUCUCUCCUCCUCCCAGCAGCCAAUCUCCGGCCAGUGCCUCCCAUUGGCUGAAUCUACCAGGAAGCGAGAGCGCAAGGCCUCCCGGGAAAUGUAGUUCCCUUCGCUGCAGCGCAUGGGCACAGCUGGGGAGUGGUACCCUAUGUGCCAUUUAGAUGUCAUUUCUGCUGUAUUCCCCGCAGUUAGCCCUCUGUGCAAUGGUCAGAUUAGGUGCUUAAGAAACCUUUGCUGAAUUAUCAACUACUCAUGAAACGAGAAAAAUCCAAACAAGUGAUGCUAAGGACUUUAGUCCUAUUACCCCAAAUCCAUAUAAAGUUCUUCAUCCUCAGCAAGACUACCUGAUUGUAUGCAGUUCACCUGAUUAAUCAAAGUGUGCUUAUAUCGCUGAUGAUGGAGAGCUGUAAGCUUCUCCACAGCAUUUUCUCAGCCACUUACGUAUAGAUGGUAUUCACAUUUAGUCUUGCAUGUCUAAAAGCUGGACGAAGUCCCCCACAGCAAUAGGACAAGGUAUGCCACAGGUGCCCUCCAAUCCAGCUGGUGAAGUCAAAACUAACUUCCUGCAAAAGAGAAUCAGUCCACACUGCGAUGAUAAACUGGUCCAGGACCGGCUGGUUAUCACACGGAGUUUGGAAUCCAUUAAUACUGAAUGUUCUUAUAUUCCCUCUUCCCGUCCUUCUUCCAGACAUUGCCCUCCAUCUCUCUGAUGGUUCAUAUGUGGUAGCCAGCGUGUACAGGAUAUGGCUUCAUUUCCUGCUGUGAUCUCCUCUGCGAUUUCAAAAAGGUUAAUUCGUUACUUGGUAGAAAAUGUGAAAUUCAACAAAAAUAUUGCCUUUCUUACUAAGCAAACUAAGCCUGGUCUAGCUGGGGAUGUGAUGUAACAAUUCUCUUGGUGGUCUGCCCUCAAACCGUCAGGUUUCCAUAGCCCUAACAAUGUGGCCGUGGAUCAUGGGGGAGCUAGCAUUGCCUCCAGGGUGAUGUCACAAUUCCCAAAUCCUUGCACUAGGUGGGGCCAGCCUCCUGUUGUGUAGACUCAUCAACUAUACCAGUCCUCUGUUCCUGGUCUCUGGAGCUUCAAUUUGGGAAAGUGACCCAUUAGCUUCUGAGGACCAGGGUGAGAGAGGGCAAACUUGAAUGCCCUUCACAAUGGAGAGAUGUGUGCAGACCGGACAGACAUCAGUUCCUUUAUCAGUGCACAGGUAGCUGCAAUAUGCUUCCUGGAAUCCUCUCUCAAAUAAACUGCUUGCCUCCAAAUCCUUGUCUCAGGCCUGCAUGUGGAGAGAUAAAACCCAGACAAAGAGGCAGACAUGAGCAGAUGAGCUCCCCCGAACAGGAGACAAGUGGGCUGAGAGGUGAAGGAAGAGGAUGAGCUCCAGCAGCCUAAGGGCUAUCCUCUGAAGCAGAGUCACAGAGCCGAGUGUAGCAAGAAAAGGCUCGGUGAUGCCUGGGGAGGCGACGCCGGCAGUCAGAAGAAUCCAAAGGAGCCUUGACAGCGUCACUGCAGACAAACCUGUCUCCACUGACUGCCCUACUCAGACUCUGCCUGUCUGUGGUGGCCCACUCUCCUCGGGGUGGAUCGGCCUAAGAGUUUCAUUAAAAUCAAGGGGACGGGGAUUGUGGGUAGUGUUGGGACCCAGUAAAGCCCUGGGCUUAAUGGAUCAGAACCAAAACCCCAGCUCCACAUGGGCAGCCCUCAGUUUUCAUGGGUCAGCCCUUUCUGAGAAACCCAGCCAGGGAGGAGCACAGGACCAGCAGCAGGGGAUGCUUCUAAACCCAUAUCUCACUGGAUAAGCUCAUCACCUUCCAAGCCUCUGAAGAACAUUUACGUUCCUAUAAGUUUCUGAAGCCACGUUCAAAUCGUAGCUCUACCACCAAUGAGCUGCACGUUGGAGGGGAAGUGAAUUCACCCCAGACCUGAGUUCCACAUCCCUAGACUGGGUGAGAGGGCCUCUGCCCAGGCUCUCCAUGAGGAUGACCUGCACCGUGUGCCUUUAAUGCACUUAGAACAGCAGGUGCCUCAGUAAACGCUCACUGCCAUUCUGCGAUCAUUAUUGCAUUCACUUCCUGGGGCUGCUGCAACAAAGUACCACACCCUGGGGGCGAAAACAACAGACCCUGACCGUGCCGAUGCUGGAAGUCUGAGAUCAAGGUGUGGGCAGGGCUGGUUCCUUCCGAGGACUGUGAGGAAGACUGUUCCACGCCUCUCUGCAGCUCCGGGUGGUUUGCAGGCAACCUUUCCAUUGCUGGCUUUGCAGACACAUCACCCAGUCUCUGCCCUCAUGUUCACAUGGCUCUCUCCCUGUGUGUGUGUGUCUGCGUCCCAGCCUCCCCUGUUUAUAAGGACAUAGUGGCAUUACAUGACUACUAUUACUCUGAUAGGGCCUCAUCUUAACUAACUACAUCUGCAAAUAACCCAUUGCCACAUAAGGUAGCAUUCUGAAGUACUAGGGGCUAGGACAUCAACAUAGGAAUUUGGGGAGCACAUAAUUCAACCCAUGAUAAUGAUUAUCGUGAUUAUUAUUAAGAAUAUAUAACCACUGUAGGAUGAAAGCAAAUACUGUAAAAUCCUACUCAUAGGUUUGCAGGGAUUAAAUGGCAUCACUGGAAAAUUGUCUGACACAAAGAAGGGGUUCAACAAAUGUUGUUUUACUUCCUCACUGUCAGCCUAAAUAUAGAAAGUAUUUGCUCAUUGGCCCGACAGACAAGUUUUGACUUCUAGUUUUAUACCAGCUUUAUGUAUACAUGCUUAUAUGUCGUAUGUGACAUUUUGUACAUAUAAACAUUAGUUCUGCCUUCUAAUGCUAUUUUGAAAUCACCUUUCCCUUGUUAAAGUGUUCUUUUGAAAUUAUAUAAAAUAGCUGAAUAGUAUUUUAAAGCCAAAAUGCUACAAUUUACUUGCCAUGUUUUAUAAUUUGCUUACAUUCAGAUGGUGUACCAUCUUGUGUUCUGUUAUGAAAUAGCACAACCAUGCAUAAAUGACCCUGCCAUCCUACCCCUAGAACUUUAUUUACCAUGAAAUGCCUCCACGUACUUUCAUUUGCAUGUCUUGAGAACUGAACCGUAGACCCCUCUUCCCUGUCAGUGUUGACCAUCGAUAUUUCCUCCCACAUGUGGCUUCUGUUUCUGUCUCUGGGCAGAUUUAUUCUAACCUGCCCUCAAAUCUGUAAGAAGAUUGUUCAUUCCCUAGGGCUAGUCCAAGUCUCCUGGCCUGGUGCUUACUUCAAAUUCACCUAAAUCUGGCAUAAAAGCUUUCAGGACAAGGUGGAUCAAACUGCGCCCUUGUGUGAGUACUCCCUGGACAGAAUGUCUGGUUAUCUUCGGUGUAAGUUAUUUCCCAUGACUCACAAAUAGAAAUCAGGAGAGGAGGGAGGUAGGAGGUGCAAGCCUCUGCAGCUGUCUGGAGAGUCAGCAAAAGGGAGACAGAAUCUUUAGUUACUUCACAUGUGUGACAAUACGCCUAUGUUUUGUUUUAUGUUGUUUAUUUCUUAUGUAACAUUGUUGAGUUAUCAAAUGAAGUGGUGUAUAAAAAUGUCAAAUAAACAGGUUCUCUCCCUUU
rnacentral:lncRNA from 1 species